rnacentral:rRNA from 1 species
ACCAGCCGCGGUAAUUCCAGCUCCAAUAGCGUAUAUUAAAGUUGUUGCAGUUAAAAAGCUCGUAGUUGAAUUUCGGGAUCAAUAUAUCGGUCAUGCUUAGGUAUGUACUGGUAUUAUUGAUUUCUCCCUUCUGAAGAACCAUGAUGUCAUUAAUUUGAUGUCGUGGGGAAUCAGGACUGUUACUUUGAAAAAAUUAGAGUGUUUAAAGCAGGCAUACGCUUGAAUACAUUAGCAUGGAAUAAUGAAAUAGGACGUUUGAUUCUAUUUUGUUGGUUUCUAGGAUCGACGUAAUGAUUAAUAGGGAUAGUUGGGGGCAUUAGUAUUCAAUUGUCAGAGGUGAAAUUCUUGGAUUUAUUGAAGACUAACUACUGCGAAAGCAUUUGCCAAGGAUGUUUUCAUUAAUCAAGAACGAAAGUUAGGGGAUCGAAGACGAUCAGAUACCGUCGUAGUCUUAACCAUAAACUAUGCCGACUAGGGAUCGGAUGGAUGUUAAUUUUUUAAUGACUCAUUC